GCAGGGGUUCGGGGGUUUUCUCGGCCUGUGUGAGAGGUCUUCUUCUUACAUUAAUGCCCGGGGGGCGGCUUGCCCCUCGCAGGUCGAGUUUUGUUUAGAUGCUUACAAUAUGCCAGUUUCCCCUCACCAUGAUUUGCUUUUUAUCUUUUUGAUGUCAGUAUCACAAGCUACCACAUUAUUAUGACUUCCACAAAUACAUGGUGCGGAGCAUGGAAGAAUGAUUACAAUGGGUCUAUUGGUAUCAGGAGAGGGAGAGUUGCCAGAAGUCCAAAUUUGAAGGCAAAUUGAGGCACGUUGAUGUUAGUUUCAAAUUUUCAAAUUUUAUAUUGUUGGGAACUCUGAAUGAGGAAUAUUCAGACAACACAGGGUUUGACUGGCACGUCAGUAGGAGCGCAUCCACUAAUCCGCAGGGUCAGCUGUGAUCCGCAUCGACCUAGUUCCUAUCUGAUGCAGUUGGCUGAAGCAUCAAGGUCUGAAGCAUAAGCUUUGUACAUGAAACCAUCACAAAUCAACCUCAGGCAGUGCUUUGUGCACAAUUGAGCUAUUUGUGGUGGUGUCGAUGCCAUUGCCAAGAGCCCCCUGUGACGUGCCUCACUGAACUUUGGGCUGCAGCUAGCUUGUUUAGGCUCUUGUUUUAACUGGUCAGCACUACUGAGGACGACGUUAGUUUCAAUUUGUUGGCAACAAGAAUGUAAGGGAACUUAGAUUAAACUCUGAAUUGACAUCCCACUUUCAAAUAUGGCCUAUAUUAUUCCUCAA